UGAAUACGAGACGCUAAGGCGUCGAAGUAGUGUAUGUCAUACUUCCAAGAAAAGCUUGCACUGCCAUAGAUAAAAAACGCCUGUACCAUAACCGACACAGGUGGGUAGGUAGAGUAUACUAAGGGGCGCGAGAUAACUCUCUCUAAGGAACUCGGCAAAAUAACUCCGUAACUUCGGGAGAAGGAGUGCCUUAUUUAUAAGGCUGCAAUAACAAGAUCCAAGCAACUGUUUAUCAAAAACACAGGUCUCCGCUAAGUCGUAAGACGAUGUAUGGGGGCUGACGCCUGCCCAGUGCCAGAAGGUUAAAGAAGUUGGUUAGCUUUUGCGAAGCUGAUAACUGAAGCCCUGGUGAACGGCGGCCGUAACGAUAACGGUCCUAAGGUAGCGAAAUUCCUUGUCGGGUAAGUUCCGACCCGCACGAAAGGCGUAAUGAUUUGGAUACUGUCUCGGAGAGGGGCUCGGUGAAAUAGACUUGUCUGUGAAGAUGCGGACUACCUGCACCAGGACAGAAAGACCCUAUGAAGCUUUACUGUAACUUGAAAUUGAAAUUGGACUUUAUUCGCGCAGCAUAGGUGGGAGGCGUUGAUUACAAUCUCGUGGGAUUAUUGGAGCCAUCAGUGAGAUACCACUCUUGUAAUGUUAGAUUUCUAACUUUGAAUCAUUAUCUGGUCAAAGAACAGUUUCAGGCGGGCAGUUUGACUGGGGCGGUCGCCUCCUAAACGGUAACGGAGGCGUACAAAGGUUUCCUCUGAACGGUUAGAAAUCGUAUCUAGAGUGUAAAGGCAUAAGGAAGCUUGACUGUGAGACCUACAAGUCGAGCAGGGACGAAAGUCGGUCUUAGUGAUCUGACGGUACUGAGUGGAAGGGCCGUCACUCAACGGAUAAAAGUUACUCUAGGAUAACAGGCUGAUCUCCCCCAAGAGUUCACAUCGACGGGGAGGUUUGGCACCUCGAUGUCGGCUCAUCGCAUCCUGGGGCGGUAGUACGUCCCAAGGGUUGGGCUGUUCGCCCAUGAAAGCGGUACGCGAGCUGGGUUCAGAACGUCGUGAGACAGUUCGGUCCAUAUCCGGUGUAGGCGUUAGAAUAUUGAGAGGAGCCUUCUUUAGUACGAGAGGACCGAGAAGGACAUACCUCUGGUGUACCAGUUAUCGUGCCAACGGUAAACGCUGGGUAGCUAUGUAUGGAGUGGAUAACCGCUGAAAGCAUCUAAGUGGGAAGCCCACCUCAAGAUAAGUAUUCAC
rnacentral:rRNA from 1 species